GGCGAGAGGCGGAGCUCCACUGAGCCCGUCUUGCUCGGCCGGCCACCGCGUCCCCGUCCCGGUCCCCGUGCCCAACACUCACGGUGCUUGCCUCCGCCGCCGCUGCCGCCGCUCGGGUAGCUCAGCAGCAGGAAGGGCAGCGGGGAGCCGGGCGACGGCGGGGUCCUCCAGGCGCGCUGCGGUGGCGGGCGCGCUGUGAAGCCCGCGCCUCCAUCGCCCGGGUAGAGGAGGAAGAAGGGGGCGGCCACCGGCGAGUCCGGCUCCGAGGGCCCCGCCUCGUCCUCCCGGUCCGCGCCGCGGGCGCUAGCACCGCGCGGUUCCAGCGGCUCGGAGGGGCGCCGCUCCCCGCCCCUCUCCUGCUCUUCGCCGCAACUUUCAGCAGCCGCGCCGGGCGCCGGCGACUCUGCCAUCUCGCUUGCGGCUUCGCAGUGCAGCCGCCUCGCCAGGCCCGAGGCUCACGGCGAGGAUCGGAUGCCCCGCCGUGCCCGCGCCGCCACCGUCCGCCGUUCGCCGCCGCCUGGGCUCCGCGUUCCGCCCGCCCCGCCGGGGCCCGGCCAGCUGAGGACCGCCCCGCCCCGACGGCGCGGCCUGCCCAGCACCGCCUCCGGCCUCCGCCCCGCCUCGCUCGCCGCCCCCCGCCGCGGCUCGGCGCCCCUAGGGGGCAGCGUCCUGCUCGUCCUCCGCGCACCUUCCGCUGGGCUCCGGAGCGCCGAUCCCUCCGGAUCACGGGGCCCAGAGUGAGCCUGGCCUGGUCCUCUGCUACCCGGCUGGACCCUGCUGGCCAGGUCUCACCAUGCAGGCCAGGCUGCUGACCUGGCGUUCACUGCGAUCAGGCUGAACCUAAACUCACAGAGAUCUGCCCACCUGCAGACUGCUCCAAUCACAGAGGUGGGUCAAGCCUAUCUAAGAUGUAACUUUUUUUUUUUUUAAUCAAAUAAAAGCAUGGAAUGAGAGUUUCCAUCAUAUCUUUGGUCA